ensembl:lncRNA
GUAGGAUCGCGGCUCCCCUCUCCGGUUUCUCCCCUUUCUGAUUCAGCGCCGCACUUCGCAACUUCCGCCCGGCCGAUGGGGCCGCCCCGACCCCGCCCUAUAAACACCGACCCCGCCCUAUAAACACCGCCCCGGCCCCGUCAAUAGGGGCCCGGCCCUAUAAACACCGACCCGACCCUAUAAAUACGGAGCGAACCCCAUCGGGACAGAGCACUGCGGGGCCGCUCCAGUGCGACCCCAUCAAUCUGGACCGGACCCUACAAAUACGGAGCCGACCCUAUAAAUACGGACUGAGCCCUAUAGAUACGGACUGAACCCUAUAAAUACGGAGCAAACCCCAUCAGUACGGAGCGCUGCGGGGCUGCCCCGACGCGACCUGACCCUAUAAAUAUGGAGUGAACCCCAUCAAUCCAGACCCGACCCUACAAAUACGGAGCGAACCCCAUCAGGACAGAGCACUGCGGGGCCGCCCCGACGCGACCCGACCCUAUAAAUCCGGACCGGACCCUAUAAAUACGGACUGAACCCUAUGAAUCCGGACCCGACCCUAUAAAUACGGAGCCGACCCUAUAAAUACGGAGCAAACCCCAUUGGGACGGAGCGCUGCGGGGCCACCCCGACCCGACCCGACCCUAUAAAUCUGGACCGGACCCUAUAAAUACGGAGCCGACCCUAUAAAUACGGAGCGAACCCCAUUGGGACGGAGCGCUGCGGGGCCGCUCCGACCCGACCCUAUAAAUCUGGACCGGACCCUACAAAUACGGAGUCGACCCUAUAAAUACGGAGCGAACCCCAUUGGUACGGAGUGCUGCGGGGCUGUCCCGACCCGACCCAACCCUAUAAAUCCAGACCAGAACCUAUAAAUACAGACCCGACCCUAUAAAUACGGAGUGAACCUUAUAAAUACGGACCAGACCCCAUCAAUCCGGACCCGACCCUAUAAAUCCGGACCUGACCCUAUAAAUACAGAGCCGACCCUAUAAAUACGGAGCAGAUCCUAUAAAUACGGAGCAAACCCCAUCAGCACGGAGCGCUGCGGGGCGCUGAGCCGACCCUAUAAAUACAGACUGCUGAGGGGCUGCCCCGACCCCAUAAAUCCGGACCCGACCCCAUAAAUCCGGACCCGACCCCAUAAACCCAGAGCUCUGUCGGACCCGGGAACGGUGUGAUGGAGGUGAGAGAUGUGGGGUGGGUUAUGGGGUGGGGUGGGUAUGGGGUGGAUGGGAUGGGAUGGGAUGGGAUGGGGGGUGUAUGGGGUGGGAUUGUGGGGUAUAUGGGGUGGGCUAUGGGGUGGGUAUGGGGUGUAUGGGAUGGGAUUGUGGGGUUGGGAUGGGGUAUGGGGUGUAUGGGAUGGGAUAUGGGGUAUAUGUGGGGUAUAUGGGGUGGGCUAUGGGGUGUAUGGGAUGGGUGAGGGAUGGGUUAUGGGAUUGGGAUGGGAUGCGGGGUGUGGGAUGGGGUAUGGGGUGGGAUAUGGGGUGUGUGGGAUGGGAUGUGGGGUAUAUGGGGUGGGAUUGUGGGGUUGGGGUGGGAUAUGGGGUGUGUGGGAUGGGUAUGGGGUGUGAUGUGUGGGGAAUAGGGGAUGUGGGGUUGGGGGAUGGGCUGUGGGCUGUGGGGUGGGGCUGCACACGGGCUAUGGGGUGGGCUAUGGGGUGGGCUAUGGGGUGGGGGUCACUGCUGUGCCCCAUACGCUGCCCCCAGAACAGCCCGGCCCCAUAAAGCCCCCAUACCCCCCCAUACCCCCCCACCCCAUAAAGCCCC